ensembl:lncRNA
CUUUAAAGGUCAUAUCUAAGAAAGUAUGUGCUGCAGCAAGCUGGCACAGUGAAUAUGGAGCAGAUGAAACAAGGAACAAGCAUCAGUCAAGCAGAAUAAACAGCUUUUCUGAAUUUAAGGACAUAGAAUAGUAAAUGGAGUGUUCGUGAGACAGAGGAACGCUAACAGUAGGAGUUGGAAAGUAAUGGUGUAGCAGCACAAAGCUAUAUAAGGAGGGCCAGACUACACAUUAGGGUGCCAGAGAAAGGCCAUAAAAGGUCAUUUUGACAAGCUGAAUAUGGAUAAUGAGUUGAGACAGAUGGUGUAAGAGUAAGGCAGCUAAUAAAUAAUGAACAGACUUGCUUCAAGGAGCAAAAGGAGGGAGAAAUCACAGCUGAAACCUUAGUCAGAGGGAGGAGGUGAAGGGGAAAAGAACAAACCCAAGGAUGAUGGGAGAGAAUCACAGCAGGAGGACUGGUGGGAGGAGGGUACGGUCUCAAGCACCAGAAUUUUGUGGAGAUGGUAAUUUACGCAAAGAAAACUUAGCAAUGCAUAUGCCUGAACUGGAAUUCAGCCAUCUUGUUGACAUAAACAUCUUUUUGCAGAGGAAAUACUCAUGGCCUCUAAACCUCUCCUAGCUAUCUAUUGCCCCUUCUCUGCCAUUAUCGCAGUGCCUAAGAAGCUUACAGUGCUCGUACUUCCACAAAAGUCUGGGAAAAGUACUUAGGUUUGUUUUUUACAGCAUAACCUGAGGCAAAGAUACCAAAGCUUCAUAGGGCCAUUGAAACGUCCCACAGCCACAGGCCCCCUGCAGAUCAGCAAGCUGAAAUCUCCUAACUUUUGCAUCCAUCUUUGACACCAUGACCAAGAUGAAGGUGGGCACCAAUGCCCCCACAACUCUUCUGAGGCACAAGACCUGACCUGGGUAUCGCACAAUGCUUCCAGAUGUCCCAUUAUAGAUGUAAACCAAGAAGCUAACCCAAGGUCACGUAGGGAAGCUACAUCAGUGUCAAACAUUGAAUCCAAGUUUCUGUUAUGUCGUUGUCUUUUUCAAUAUCUUAGAGAGCUAGUGUCUCUUAGACUUCAUUGCUUAUUAAUAAACCAAUCUCUUCACCAGCAAUGCACCUGACAGUAUAAAACUACAGGUAAUUUAGUGUUGAUGCAGAAAGAACAGUGCCCUGGUGCCCUCUAAUGAUUUUGAUGCUUCCAAGUGUACUUGCCCUUGAACAGCUUACAAGGUCUAACCUUCCUGGACCUGUAGUUCCUGACAAGGUUCCAGAGAUGACUGUAAGAAGUAACCUUGGUUAUAAACUGCCCACUAUUCAGCAAAUUCUGCCUGUGUCAGACAGCAAGCAUGCAUGAUUAACUAUGAACUGCUUAGCUCAUUGGCAAAGAUGUGACUAGCUACAAAGGGGAUUUCUAUUUCAUCGCACUUGGAAUCUGUGUUAUUAAAUAAUGAGCCACUUAAUGAACUCAUUCAUUAAUACAUGGCUGUGAUGAAUAGAUUUUCUCCAGUGGCAGAGUUGUGAAAGCAGUUGCAAACCUGAGUGAAUUCCAAAUGCUGCUUUCUUUCAGAAGAAAUUCGAUUUGAGCAAGUAUCUUUAUUAAGAUUUAUUUAUUAUCUCAUUCAUUCUACUGCUUCCAGCUAACACAGCGGUGUCAAAGGUCUGCUGUGUUUGUGCCCCUCCAGCACUCCCUGCUCAUUUCCUUCUCACCUUUCUGCCUUGCCAAAACCUGAAGAUCCCCUUCACUUCAGCUCUACUCUCUUGAUAGUCUUCAGGGCAGUCGUGCCACAAAAUCAUUCUUUGCCCAGACCCUUUCAGUACUUAAAGGGGACGCAUGAGAAAGAUGAGGAGAGACUCUUCAUUAGCGAGUAUAGUGAUUGGACAAGGGGUAACAGCUUUAAACUAAGAGUAGAUUUAGAUUAGACAUUAGAAAGAAAUUCUUUACUCAGAGGGUGGUGAGGCACUGGCACAGCUGCCCAGAUAGGUUGUGGAUGCCACACAUCCCUGGAGGUGCUCAAGGCCAGGCUGGAUGGGGCCCUGUGCAGCCUGAGCUGGUGGAAGGUGUCCCUGCUCAUGGCACAGGAUUGGCAUAGAUUGCAUUAGUCUUUAAGGUCACUUCCAGCCCAAACCAUUCUAUGAUCAUUCCCUAUCUCACAUAGGAAAUGACUGUAUUGCUCUAUUUCCUGGGUUCACCUUCCCAUUGCUUUGAGACUGACAAACCACUCCACAAACCAGAGACAGAAGGACAAAUCAUUCAAUGCAUCUAAAACAAAAACACUUGCAAGGUUUUCCUCUCUUGUUUUCCAAGAGUGUGUUAAGGAAGGUCUCUAGCAGAGAAUUUCACCAGCUGAGAGCUUUCCCUGCAGGGAACUGUUCCUUUUGUUUGGAACAGCUCUUUUGCAGCCCAGGGUGCUCAGGCAUCAGUCUCUAGAGACAGUUGCUUGCCAGCUCCAGUGAAGUGUACCAAGCCACUGCCCAUGCCAGUACACAGGCUCAUUCCAAGAAAUCCCCCGUGCUGCAGCCUGUCACAGCCAACCUUAUGCUUCCACUGUGCUCCUUAAUAGGGUUGUUACUUGUCCAUCCUUCUGGGGCUACAAGAAAAUAGUCUCAGGAAAUGUAGUUAUUGCAAAGCUAAGAGUUAGAUCAAUUAAGAGGGGUGAUUCUCAAACUAAAUCCAGCAUCUCUCUCUCUUUUUGCACAAGCCCUCCAAUGCAAUUGUUCUGGGGCUACAAGAGCUUUUAAAAUUGCAGAUAUGCUGCUCAUUACGCACCUUACCUGUGGAGAAACAGAAGCACAAGUAGCAGCAGGUUUAAAGAGAUGUUCACUCUGAGACUCUUUUCAAGGUUAUUUAGCAGAGAAAGUACAGGAGUAAUUGGCUUUGCUCCAUCUAUUUUCAUAGCAUUUUGAUUGCUCUGACCAUUUUUGGCUAUGAAAUACUACUAAAGAGACCUGAAAUUUGUAGCAUCCAGGAUCAUUCAACAGAUAGCAUGAUGUGGUUAUUGUAUUUGCUAUGUGCACUCCAUGAAUGAUGCCUCCUUUAAGAAAGCAACUUGCAAAGCUUGUCUUGGCUGCAGACUAGACGUUGAGUACCUCAGAUGCCCAGAUUUUUGAAGAACAUGGUUUUGAAGCAGGCAUCUCACAGCAAAUCACAAAAAUAGAUAGAUCUUAUUUUCACUCACUAGCUGUGCAAACUCAAGUUGUCAUAGGGUCUGGAAUAUAUUGGCACUGAUUUAACAGCAAUACAAGGCCUCAUAUAUAGCAACACUGCAAUUAUACUUGUGUUUUAUACCCAUAUGGAGGCUUUCAACUCAAAAGAGUCUCCAGCAGCUGCCGAGAGGUAUGAGAUAUAGCAAGGGAGGUAGGACGAGGCAGGGUGAAGGACAAAAAGGAAGGGAGAGGAAAUGUACUGCUCUCGGGAAUAGCCAGCCUUGGAAACUGAUGUUACCUUGAGGCAGUAAAAGGGCAGAAUAUACGCAGUUAGGCAUAGCACUUCAUAGUAGUAAGAAGGCUGUAUGUUUGCCUCCCAAAUAGCCUAAUAAAUUCCUAUUAUUAGGAUGGACAUUAACGAUGAAAAAUCUUCAUCUCCAAAAAUUAAUAGGUUCAAUAUAUCAUUAGAAUAGAUCGUCACAUAGCUAUCUGUACACAAGAGAGAAAAUCCUCACAACCACCUGUUGAGGCAGGGGAAGGAUUUAGCUAUUAUUUAUUGCUCAGUGUGACUCAUGCUUGUGGGUAGGGACGCGACAGUGCAGAUGGGAGUUAAAGUCAAACUGCCGUCAGCGCAAUUUAUGCCAGGAGAGUUGAAUUCAGGCUACUUCUGUAUUCCAUAUGAUUCUUCUGUAAAAUAUGGAAAGGGUAUGAAAACAGUUUGAAAAAUGCAUGCCUGGGCUGCCAUUUGUCGGAGCUCAGGCUCGGUUAGAGGCAAGAUGGCUGCAGGUCUUGGGCAGCAUUGAGAGCUGCACGGCAGGAGGGAAGCAUUGCCUGCAGGUCGCUGCAGCAAGGGGUUUUCCUGCAGCCUGGCAUCAUGCAGAGCGCUCCCUUGGCUCAUGGACAGAGUUGAUUUCUUCUGGUAGAGUAAUCCUGGCUGCCAAGUGAAGGCAAAACUGCUGAUCCUUCUGCACAGCACCCACAGAUCAGUCCCUUCUCAGAGCAGUUUUGACACCAACCUGACAAAUCGCCAGCUGCUCUGCUACAGAUGGUUGGGGUGCUGCUGACUCUCUCUGCUGGAAGGUGCCAAGGCUUUCCUGCCCUUCCUGGCUCCUUUCUCACUCAGACAUUCUGUCUGAUUUUUUCUUAAUGCACUUGAUAUAAUUUGUAGGAACUUUCCAGCCCCAUCGGCUCAUGCUGUUGGUCUAUUUGUCCCUGAGCUCUGAGAUGCUGACGAGCACUAUCUGAUAGACUUCAAAGGAUGAGAAAAGCAUCCAUGCUUUACUUCCAGCACAAGGCUGUAUGAAGUGGGGGAUGGAGAAUCCAAAGCAGCCCCUGAGCUGAUCAACAUGGAGAAGGGGAAGAUCAGAGGAUAUUUAAUUAGAUUCCUAAUUAUGGAGCUUAUUAGCAGUCAUAAAAUCACCAGGGUUUGGAUCGCAUAGAAAUGGGAAUGGCAGAUCUCAGAGACACACAUCACAUAGAUAAAUGUGAUUAUUCCUUUGGCUUGAUCUCAACUGGAAGAAUAGCUCACUGCAUUAUCAGCAACUGAAGAUGUACCCCUGAUGCAUAAUUUGUUCUUUCUACAGUAAAGGCAAGAGACAGAAAUCACAUAGGCACAAUUGGGUUCAGGAUAUUUCAAUCUUAAAGUAAAAUUGAGAAAAAAAAAAGGGGGAGCACCAUAGGAAAGCCCACACCGUACUGAAAGAAAUACAGCCUUAUCUUUAUUUUCUGCAUCCCUUCUAAGAAUACAGCUCUGCAGACACUUCUUUCUUCCACGUGAUUCUAAGGAUGCCCAGCAAACAAAGAGUCUGCUGGAAACCAGUGGAAUAAGCUUGGCCAUCACAAAAUGAGCCUGAAUGAUUUUGUCCACCUUGAUUGUCUGCUUUGUUCAUUCAUACAGGAGAAAGGACUAGAAGAUUGUCCAAUUUUCUCUGGGGGAAGAAAGAAAAUAAACCCUUUUCCUUCACAUUGGUCAAUAUUUUCUUCAAAAUUUAUCAGAUUCUCCCCAGAGGUUCAGCAUACUGCAGUUGGUUCAGUCUUUUUCAAUGGAAAAUGGACAAAAGGGAACGGUUGCUUCUCAAACAUUUCCAAUUUGUCCAGAAUUGAUCUUUUUUUUUUUUUUUUUGUGAAUAAAAUGUUUGGAUGAAAAUUGUUUGAGCGGAGAGAAGGAGCAUGUUCUCCAAGGAUGGGGAGCUUCUCUUUUGCAUGAAUGCAUUUGGCAACACUGGAUGAUACAAAUGAUCUGUCUUUCCUACCCAGCUGGACCCAGCUGCACAGUGAGAAGGGGGAGAGAAAAUGAACAAAAAAAAAUGCUACUCCAUCCAAUGUGAGCUCAAGAACAAGGAGAGUGUGAACUGGCCAGGAAAUAAGGAACUGGGAAUAAGAAGAAAAUUUCAAAGAAAUCCAUGAGUCAAAAAACCCCACAGCAACAUCUCGAGUGCAGAAAACCAGGGGACCAAGAUGGAGUGCUGAGUUCCUGCUGAUCUGUCCUCAGUUGCACCAAAUGAGAAAUCAACUUGGCCAUGUUUUGGGACAUUUAUAGCAGAUGUGAGAGCCUGAAAUUCAACCUGAGGCUGGAGGUCAGACAAAGCUUCCUGACUGCAAUAUCUGUGGGGCUGAAGGGCAGGAUGUGCAGGAUGUGAGGAGCAGCUUGCUUUCUUCAUCAGCCCAAUGGCAGAUCUAAGAACAUACCUUCACUUUGCGGAGGAUGGCAUGACCUCAGAGCACUGCCACAGUCACCAGAAGGGCUCAUGGAUGGCGCUGGUUAUGGUGGGAUCUGUCAUGCGUGCACUGGAGGUAGGCUCCAUGCUCUUCCGUGCCUCCACCAAAGUUAUCAAUUUGGGGCUAUCACACAUGGAAAGGCUCCUCACCUCCUCCCAAAUGUGAAAAACCUUGGCUAGCAGCCAACAGCAGACGUUUCAGGAGAAGAAACCACUGGGAUUUCUCAAUCUGGGUCUGCUAUAAAUCAUUUAACACCUCAUCCACAAGUGCUCCUAACUAAAGCACACCAGGAGAAGGUUUUUUUGUGAACCUCCAUUCUUUGCUCAUAAACCUCACCAAUCUCUCAGUCAUCAUCAUGGAGACAUCCAAUUAAAUCUGUCUCUAGAUUAAUAUUCUGGGUGUACUAAUCCACCUGGCAAUGUGCCUCAGAGGAAGAGGGUAGCUACCAGAAGAAGAUGCCACCAGGAUUGUUCAAGGCCUGUCACUGCUUUGUCAGACUGUUUCAUAAAUGGAGAUCCUCGGUGAAGCCUCUGUCACCAGCCCUAUGGGUGUUUCCUCUGCCUGCCACAAAACCAGGAGCAUCACACAUGCCUAAGGAGAUCGAGAACCUGUAAGCUGCAAUAAUUAGAGCAGUUAAAGCUGGCAAAUCUGCAGCAGCAUGACCAGCUGCCAUAAGGGACAAGAAAUACAUCCCAUGUAGGAGGCAGGCUCUUCCCCGCUGCCUGGAGGUUGUGGCUCCCAUUGUAUUUUUCCCAGGGUCAAAAUUUCCUGCAGUGAUUCUGCUCACCCUCUUGCUGUUUACAGAUCCAUAGGGAUUGUCUUCAUGCUAUGACUGGGAAACUCUCCAUGUUGCAGGGGUGCUGAGUGGUAACGCUGGGACUGCCUUGUCCUGAGGACAUCUACUCUUCUUGCUCACUGUCAGCUCAGGAGGACAUGAAGCCAAGGAGGCAGCAGCUAUGAUGGCAUCACGGAGGGAACCAGAGCCUGAAUAAACACAUACGUCACCCAGCUGAGAGUGGAUGAACUUCAGCUUCCUCCAAACACACCUCUCACAAGAGCUGCUGUGAAUCACAGCAAAACAUCGAGUCUAACUGAAACACUGAAUCACAGAACCAGCUGUCACACAGCCCUGCAGCAUCUCCUGCAGGAGCUCAUCCAGCGUCAGCCCUGCUCUCCAGGUCUCUCUCUUCUGCAGGACAUCCACAUCCUCAAAGCAAGAAACAGAGGAAGGCAUUUCUAUUUAAGCAGCGGACAUGGGGCAGUUCUGGUCUGUAAGCCAUGUCGGCCACAGGAGUUCUUGUUAUUUGGAGAUGGUGUUUUAGGUUAUGGGACAAGAUUGCUUCACCUUUGAGCGGGCAGGUAAGGGCAUCUUGGACCUGCAUCUGGCUUCUGUUGGCUUGAUCUGAUGUCCUCUGGGUCUUGGAUGAGAGGAGAGAGUAUGCAGCUCUACUCAGUGCCUCCAUGUCUCUCACAGCUUUGUAGAUCUAUCCUAUCUCUCCAUAUCUACAGCCAUAUCCCCAGGUCUAUAACACCAAGAAGAGCAGAAAACAACUCGGAAAGCCAGUAACCCCUAUGCUUCACUGAGGCAAAUCCAAAUACUCUAAAGCACUUUCACAUUUCAUCUACCUCCAAAGAAGAAAAGCCUUGACUUCUUCUUUCUCUCUGGGAUUAAGGCAUUCCAGAACAAGCACAGGAGACCUGUGUCACCUUUGACGUGGGGGAGUCUUUAAAUCUGAUCAUAAGCAUCUACCAGGACAGUUCUAGGAAAAAAAGCUAUUUGUCAUUCAAGUGGCCUGAACUUCCAGGCUCCUACACCCAGGCUCAGGUCUCUCUUCUGUAAGGGUUCUACACCCUCUUUUGACCCAGUCCUUCCUUCUAAUUCAUUCCAGACAAAGAAAUCCACUAGGCCACCUUGCUGCCCAGCUUUCUUCUACCACCAAACACCAGCAUGCAUCUACUGGCAUAAACGUGAUCACAAAGUCGUGACUGCACAGGGAGAACAAACACGCUGAGCAGAUGGGUUGUGAGGGAGGAAGCCCUCAUUUAAAACACAAAUAACUGGCAAUAACUUAGCAGAUGUGGUAAGAGGAAUCUGGACAGACAAGCAUGAGGUGACUGGAUUCCAAUUUCAGUCAGCAAAAUAGCCAAAGCUUUGUCACUCUAUUAAUUUUCCUUUCUUUUUUUUUUUUUCUUCUUUUUUUCCUUUUCUUCUCAGCAGAGGAACAUUAUCUACAGAGCUCUGUGGAUUCGAUAUCAUCAGGUAGCUAAGGCUGCUCUUAGGUUUUUUAUUUCCUGAUCCUCUUUAGGCAAGGUCCCUAAAUUCAUCCCCAGUGUCCGAGCUCUGCUAUUAGGUGCAGAAAGCCCAUUGCGGAAUUCAUGAGAGUUAAACUGACUCACAAACCUCUCCUUCAGGAUAUCAGAUAGAAGCAUAGUCCAGCCAGACCCUUCCUUCCAAGCAUCGUUAUCUGUGCCCCAGCAUAUCAGCUAUUCUCAAUGCCUAAGGGGCUGGUUUCAAGGAAAAACACAGACUUUGCAAUGGAGAAAGUUUAUCAGCUAGAAAAUCUGACAGGCUUUAUGCAUCAAUUUUGGGGCAAGAAUUCAUGAAUGACCUUCCAAAACUCCUGCAAAGGACAGAAAAGCAGCAUUUGGGUAGUGGCUCAUCCAGGAUUAUUACCCCAUAGAGAGCACCACUGGUGUCAGCCCAUCAGCUCACAGAGUGCCCCCGACCAAGCUGGAAAUAGCACGGAAAUGAAGAUUCCAAGCAGGCAAUGAAACGGUAUGUGAGUUAAAGCUGCUCCAACUGCCUGGGCACAUGCAUUGUCUGAUCUGCUCAGCUCCCAGCCUCUCUCUAACAGUCAUUAAAUUGCUUUGAUGGGCACUGACCCCUGGAAAAGCUUCAGUACAAACACAACUGCAUUCACUGUUGAUUUUUUUUCUUUUCUGUUGUUUUUUCAGCUCCCCUCCCUUUGUUUUUUUUUACCCAUUGAAUCUUACUACUUUUAAAUCCCGACUGAUUGUCCAGAAAGCGACCAAAGAGAAAAGCAUCUCUUACCAGAACUGUGAAAUAUCUCACUGCAGCCAUUCACCAGCCAUUUCCCCUCUUUCCUGCCCGCAGAGCUGCUCCUGAAAGGGUCUCCCCUUUCUGCCGGAGAUUAGAAGUAAAUGCUCUGCAAGCCAAGCCGAUCAUCCCACUGCGCCCGCAUCCAGGUACCGGAGCACAAGCAGUGGAAAAGUCCAUCAGGCAACAGCAAACACAGGCGCAUGCACGCACACCCCAGGCACAAAGCAAUAGGAGCAGGGGGAGGCUGGAGGCAGAGCAGAUGGGAGGGGGUGGCUCAGGGGAACCAGGCAGCGGGAGAUGCUAACGUGACAGAUGUGUUGACUUUAAGUUAAACAGGAAAUUGAGGAUGCUUGACGCAGGGAGGAAAGGCACUAGCUCACGUUAAAGGCAGAGGUUUCCCAUGGUCUUCCCCCUUUUUGCUCUCUCUCUCUCUUCUAACCAGGCUUUUCCUGGUGAUUUCUAGUUCUUACCUCACUCGCAGUCAAAGGUAUUUCCCUUCCGAAAUGGGAGGUGGGAGCACAGUCAUUAUACCCUGUUCAAAUGAAGCUACUCUGAAGUUAUUUAAAUGACAGCCUCUAGAUGCUGGGAAUGCUGAACAUCAAGGUGAGGCUUCCCAUUUAUCUCAGUUCUGUGAAGAGGAAAAUACAAUUGGAUCCAAUCCCUGAUUUGGGUCAUGUAGGAUGGACCACGGGAAAUGGAGUAAACUGAUUUAAAUGCAAGAAAGGAAGGUAGACCAUACCAGUGCUGAGACGGAUUCCAGCUUCCAGAGACUGAUGAAAAGCAAUGGCCCCAUGACAAGUCCAGACUCAGAUCAUCACUUGUACCACCCACCUCAGCCUGCCAGACCAGGAGAAACAGCAGCAGAUCCCCGUUUUGGUUUUGGUGCCAUUCUGACUGCUGCCCUCCUCGCACACUAUUCCUCCUACACGCUGUCCCUGAGCUGUGUUAUUUGCCUCCCUUCAUCAUUUUAAUGGGGUACUGACAGUGAUUCAUUCGCACUCCGAACAGAUGAACCUGAACUUGUCCCCAGAACCACAUUUCCAGAGCCAGCCAGAGAAGGUAGGUUGGAAGCAUCUCAGAUGCAUUGGCUGCAAUCCAAAAAGCAUUCAUUUUUCUGAUUAACAAAGACAGAGCUUGGAAAAGUCUGGUGAGGCUCUUCCACUUUGGGAAAGUGCAGCUUUGGAUCUCCUGUCCUUCCUCCCACCU